rnacentral:rRNA from 1 species
CCUACGGGAGGCAGCAGUGGGGAAUAUUGCACAAUGGGGGAAACCCUGAUGCAGCGACGCCGCGUGAGUGAAGAAGUAUUUCGGUACGUAAAGCUCUAUCAGCAGGGAAGAAAAUGACGGUACCUGCCGAAGAAGCCCCGGCUAACUACGUGCCAGCAGCCGCGGUGAUACGUAGGGGGCAAGCGUUAUCCGGAUUUACUGGGUGUAAAGGGAGCGUAGACGGCAGCGCAAGUCUGGAGUGAAAUCCCAGGGCUUAACCAUGGAACUGCUUUGGAAACUGUGCAGCUAGAGUGCAGGAGAGGUAAGCGGAAUUCCGAGUGUAGCGGUGAAAUGCGUAGAUAUUAGGAGGAACACCAGUGGCGAAGGCGGCUUACUGGACUGUAACUGACGUUGAGGCUCGAAAGCGUGGGGAGCGAACAGGAUUAGAUACCCUUGUAGUC